AGCUUUGCACAGGGGCAGAACCCUAGCCGAUGUUUAUCCCAGGCACCAUUCAAAAUUACUGCGAAUUGAAAACUUCUCCCAAUACCUAGCUGUGACAAUUUGAAGUAUAGUAGGCAUUGGCAAUUUUUGACAGUCUCUAUGGAGA